rnacentral:rRNA from 1 species
GAUGAACGCUGGCGGCAUGCCUAAUACAUGCAAGUCGAACGAGAGGAAGGAAAGCUUGCUUUCCUGAAUCUAGUGGCGAACGGGUGAGUAACACGUAGGUAACCUGCCCAUGUGCCCGGGAUAACUUCUGGAAACGGAUGCUAAAACCGGAUAGGUAGCAGACAAGCAUUUGACUGCUAUUAAAGUGGCCUUGGCCAUGAACAUGGAUGGACCUGCGGUGCAUUAGCUAGUUGGUGAGGUAACGGCCCACCAAGGCGACGAUGCAUAGCCGGCCUGAGAGGGCGGACGGCCACAUUGGGACUGAGACACGGCCCAAACUCCUACGGGAGUCAGCAGUAGGGAAUUUUCGUCAAUGGGGGGAACCCUGAACGAGCAAUGCCGCGUGAGUGAGGAAGGUCUUCGGAUCGUAAAGCUCUGUUGUAAGAGAAAAACGGCACUCAUAGGGAAUGAUGAGUGAGUGAUGGUAUCUUACCAGAAAGUCACGGCUAACUACGUGCCAGCCGCCGCAGUAAAAC